rnacentral:tRNA from 1 species
GCCUAGCUAGCUCAGUUGGUAGAGCAAUCGGCUGUUAACCGAUCGGUCGUAGGUUCGAGUCCUACGCUAGGCGCCA